rnacentral:rRNA from 1 species
UACAUGGGGUGCAAACGUUGCUCGGAAUCACUGGGCGUAAAGGGUGCGUAGGCGGGUCUUUUAAGUCAGGGGUGAAAUCCUGGAGCUCAACUCCAGAACUGCCUUUGAUACUGAAGAUCUUGAGUUCGGGAGAGGUGAGUGGAACUGCGAGUGUAGAGGUGAAAAUUCGUAGAUAUUCGCAAGAACACCAGUGGCGAAGGCGGCUCACUGGCCCGAUACUGACGCUGAUGCACGAAAAGCGUGGGGGAGCAAACAGG